UACGUAGGGGGCAAGCGUUAUCCGGAAUUACUGGGUGUAAAGGGAGAGUAGGCGGCAUGGUAAGUUAGAUGUGAAAGCCCGAGGCUUAACCUCGGGAUUGCAUUUAAAACUAUCAAGCUAGAGUACAGGAGAGGUAAGUGGAAUUCCUAGUGUAGCGGUGAAAUGCGUAGAUAUUAGGAAGAACACCAGUGGCGAAGGCGACUUACUGGACUGAAACUGACGCUGAGGCUCGAAAGCGUGGGGAGCGAACAGGAUUAGAUACCCUGGUAGUCCACGCCGUAAACGAUGAGUGCUAGGUGUCGGGGGGGAACCCUCGGUGCCGCAGCUAACGCAAUAAGCACUCCACCUGGGGAGUACGAUCGCAAGAUUGAA
rnacentral:rRNA from 1 species